AUGAACGCUGGCGGCGUGCCUAAUACAUGCCAGUCGAGCGAACAGACGAGGAGCUUGCUCCUCUGACGUUAGCGGCGGACGGGUGAGUAACACGUGGAUAACCUACCUAUAAGACUGGGAUAACUUCGGGAAACCGGAGCUAAUACCGGAUAAUAUAUUGAACCGCAUGGUUCAAUAGUGAAAGACGGUUUUGCUGUCACUUAUAGAUGGAUCCGCGCCGCAUUAGCUAGUUGGUAAGGUAACGGCUUACCAAGGCAACGAUGCGUAGCCGACCUGAGAGGGUGAUCGGCCACACUGGAACUGAGACACGGUCCAGACUCCUACGGGAGGCAGCAGUAGGGAAUCUUCCGCAAUGGGCGAAAGCCUGACGGAGCAACGCCGCGUGAGUGAUGAAGGUCUUCGGAUCGUAAAACUCUGUUAUUAGGGAAGAACAAAUGUGUAAGUAACGAUGCACGUCUUGACGGGACCUAAUCAGAAAGCCACGGCUAACUACGU
rnacentral:rRNA from 1 species